rnacentral:rRNA from 1 species
ACGCUAGCGGGAGGCCUAACACAUGCAAGCCGAGCGGUAGAAGAUCUUCGGGUCUUUGAGAGCGGCGCACGGGUGCGGAACACGUGUGCAACCUACCUUUAUCUGGGGGAUAGCCUUUCGAAAGGAAGAUUAAUACCCCAUAAUAUAUUUGAUGGCAUCAUUAGAUAUUGAAAACUCCGGUGGAUAGAGAUGGGCACGCGCAAGAUUAGAUAGUUGGUGAGGUAACGGCUCACCAAGUCAGUGAUCUUUAGGGGGCCUGAGAGGGUGAUCCCCCACACUGGUACUGAGACACGGACCAGACUCCUACGGGAGGCAGCAGUGAGGAAUAUUGGACAAUGGGUGAGAGCCUGAUCCAGCCAUCCCGCGUGAAGGACGACGGCCCUAUGGGUUGUAAACUUCUUUUAUACUGGGAUAAACCUACUUACGUGUAAGUAGCUGAAGGUACAGUAUGAAUAAGCACCGGCUAACUCCGUGCCAGCAGCCGCGGUAAUACGGAGGGUGCAAGCGUUAUCCGGAUUUAUUGGGUUUAAAGGGUCCGUAGGCGGACUCGUAAGUCAGUGGUGAAAUCUCAUAGCUUAACUAUGAAACUGCCAUUGAUACUGCGGGUCUUGAGUAAAGUAGAAGUGGCUGGAAUAAGUAGUGUAGCGGUGAAAUGCAUAGAUAUUACUUAGAACACCAAUUGCGAAGGCAGGUCACUAUGUUUUAACUGACGCUGAGGGACGAAAGCGUGGGGAGCGAAC